UACAGAGGAGCCAAGCGUUGUCCGGAUUGACUGGGCGUAAAGCGCACGCAGGCGGACGCGCGCGUGGGGUGUGAAAUCUGGCCGCUUAACGGCCAGGCGCCAUCCCAUACGGCGCGUCUGGAGCAAUGCAGGGCGGUCGGAGUACUGGCGGUAGUGGUGAAAUGCGUAGAGAUCGGCAGGAACACCCAGGGGGAAACCAGCCGACUGGGCAUUUGCUGACGCUGAGGUGCGAGAGCGUGGGGAGCGAACCGG
rnacentral:rRNA from 1 species